rnacentral:misc_RNA from 1 species
GAAAGAGAGAAAGAGAGAGAGAAAGAAUAUCUCAAAAACAUUUCGCGAAUUCUUCUCUUACCCAUCUCACAGCUAAAGAUUGUUUUUCCCUUCUUCUCCCUAGAUCUUCUGAUUCACUUUCCCUUCUCAAGCUUCAGCCAUGGCUAACGCGGCAUCAGGUAUGGCUGUUCAUGAUGACUGUAAGCUUAAGUUCUUGGAGCUGAAGACCAAGAGAACUUACAGAUACAUUGUAUAUAAGAUUGAAGAGAAGCAAAAGCAAGUCAUUGUGGAAAAGGUUGGCGAGCCAGCUCAAAGCUAUGAAGACUUCACAGCCUGUCUUCCUGCUGAUGAAUGCCGAUAUGCGGUUUAUGAUUUUGAAUUUAUGACUAAAGAGAAUGUCCCGAAGAGCAGAAUUUUCUUCAUUGCUUGGUCUCCUGAUGUAUCGAGGGUAAGAAGCAAGAUGAUCUAUGCAAGUUCAAAGGACAAGUUUAGAAGAGAAUUGGAUGGCAUCCAAAUUGAGCUGCAAGCUACUGACCCAUCUGAAAUGGAUCUCGAUGUUUUUAAAAGCCGUGCUAAAUAAGAAGCCUCCUCGUUUUGAACUUCUUGCUGUGUCUGUUUUACAUUGUGAAAUGAUGUUAUUAAUUGCUGGGUUUAUGAAUGUGCUUUGAUUACACAUUUGGGUUGCUUUUAAGUUUUGUCUUAUAGAAUUAUGUCCAUCUGGAACAAUCUUCGGUCAUUUUUCCCCCCACCUUAUAUUGUAUGAUUUAUCGUGUGGAAUUAAUGCAAUAUCUCCCUAUGUAAUGCUACAUGAUUUUGGUAAGGAAUAUCUUCCUUUUACGACCUUACUUGAACAGAUCUGUUCUAUAGGUUGUACAAUUGUGUCCUCAAGGGAACAU